AGGCUACGAGGAAGGUGAGGACGCUCGGGGUCGCUCGAGCAUCUGAGCGGGCUUAACGGCCCUCCUAGGGGCCACUCUGGUCUCCCGUGCUCUCGCUUCGGCUUCUGGCGCCGUCAUUGUCACCCCUUGGGGAAGCCGGGGUGAGGGGCCGCGGCGGCCGGGGCCCUGCACGCGGCGUGCUGGACGCCGGGGCUCGUCCGCCGCCUUUUUCCGCGUGGAAACCCGGAGCUGGCAUCGGGACCGUCAGUUUACUCCUAGCCAUCGGUGGUGACCUUGAGUCUCCUCCAGGGCACUUGGCGGAAAGCACCAAAGGUGGGGAGAACCUGGAGCCACAGGUUGUCCAUUCGAGCCCGGCAUUUAUGUCCUAGGAUGCUUGUUUAUAGAAGGAGCCACCCAGGCUUUUGUCCUGGAGAGUUGCCCCUGUGCCGGGGUGUGGUCCCUAGCGAUCACUAGCCAUUUGCAAGGUCGGGAGAAGUUCGCUUCUCGGUGCCUGAGUCCAAGCUGCGGGUCUUCAGAGUAGAGCGGACUGCCUCGCUUGCUCUACCAGGGAAGUCUUGAUGUUUGCUAGAAGUAAACGGUGUAUGUUUAGUGUCAUGGUCAUGGGGUGGGGGAACAUGUAUGUAUAGGUGCAUACGCAUGUGUGUGGAGGCCAGAGGACAACUUGGUGUUUCAUCAAACUGUGGCCACCUUCUUUGUGACAGGGCCUCUAGUUGGCCUGAAGCGUACCAGUUAAGGCUGGAUAACAAACUUUGCCACACGAGCUUUUGAAAUAUAUAUACACACACAUACAUAUAUACUUAUAUGUAUGUACACAUAUAUGUGUAUGUAUAUAUAUGUAUGUGUAUGCAUGUAUACACACAUAUAUAAAGAUUCUGUGUGUGUUGGGGAGGAGUGUCUGCUUCCACUUUGAGUUCUGAGGGUUAAACUCAGGUUGUCAGGCUUUGUAGCAAGCACCCCUAACCCACUGAAUCAUCUUGGUAGCCCACACCCAAGGUUUUCUAUGUGGGUUCUGGGGCUCAAACUCCUUAUGCUUGCAAAGCACAGCCUCGCCCUUCCCAGAGCCCUGAUAAUGAAUGGCUUUUGAGAGAAGAGUUUCACCGAGGAGCGUAAACUGUCCUCAGAACUCCUUCACCAGUCUCCCGAGAGAGCUAGGGUUACACGAAGGCUCCGACAUUCUUGGCUAUUGGUUGGUGUUUGUUUCGCUUUGUGGUAUUGAAGAGUGGACCCAGGUCAUGCUAGGUUAAGCACAUACCACUGAACUGUGACCCUAUCCCUAAUCAGCUGGACCUGCUACCACUGAGUCACCCCCAGCCUCUCUGCCACCUUAAAUGGGACCCAAGCCUAAGAUUAUGGUUCUUAGGUGCCUUAAAGAUAAAUAAACCCACCUCCAGAAGUUACUCCCAGAGGAGAGGCACUGCUCUUACUGCCUGCUGGUAACUUAGCAGACCAGCCUCAAACUCCCAGAGAUCUGCCUACCUUUGUCUGGAGAGUACUAGUAUUAAAAGCAAAUGCAUAUUCACCCGGUAUUAACAUUUUUAAAAAGCCAUGGGUUGAUGGUGUCAGUUGGAGGAGCGUCUAACAAACAAGGUCAGUUAUGUGACAGUUAUGUGACAUUGACUUCUACUUCACCUCUUUAGUUGUGAAACAGCCCUGAGUCACAGCUCCUAAGUAUGCUGGCUUAGGCACUGGAAUUUUUUUUCUUUUUUAAUUUUGUAAUUAUAUUUAGGUACAGAAAAUUUAGUGUACAUUUAAUCCAAUUUAGUGGCGAGUUCUUUAGCUUUUGCUUUUUCCAGCUUGGCAAUGCGAGCCACAGACUCAGGACCCAGGACGUUGCCUCCCCAGUGGCAACGGAUCUCGUCAUAUCUGUCAUUAUAAUUGGUCCUAAUAGAUUCCACCAACUUAGCCAGAGCACCCUUGUCUUCCGAGUUAACCUGUGUGAAGGCAACAGUGGUGCAUGUCUUCCUAUGGACCAGGUGCCCCAGUCUGGCCUUUCCCUUGAUGAUGCAGUAGGGCACCCCCAUCUUUCGACACAGGGCAGGCAGGAAAACCACCAGCUCAAUAGGGUCUGCGUCAUGGGCAAUCACCACCAGCUGAGCCUUCUUGUUCUCCACCAAGGUGGUGACUGUAUUGACUCCUGCUCAGAGGACAGGAGGUCUCUUAGUUGGGACGUCGCCUUUGCCAGCAGCUUUCUUCUCAGAACGGGCCAGUAGCCUUUGCUUUUUCUCUUGCUUUGUCUCUGGCCUGUACUUGUGGGCAAGCUUAAGCAGCUGAGUAGCUGUCUGCCUGUCCAGUGCCUGGGUGAACUGGUUAAUGGCUGGAGGGACUUUGAACCGCUUGUAGAGGAUGGCUCUUGGCCACUGCAGCCUGAUGUAGUGGGGCCAUUUGACGAAGCACGUUAAAUCUCUUUUGGGCUGGAUGUCCUGUCCAAUGCCGAAGAUCUUGGGCCUCUUCUCGAACAGAGGGUUGACCACCUUCUUGGCCUCCUGCUUCUUGACGACGGCGGGCGCCGGGGCCACCUUCUUCCUCUUGGCCUUCUUCCCUUUGGGCAUCUUGCUCGGCUGCUGGAGACGGAGUUUUUUCUUUUUCAAUAAUUUUGGGUUUGUUUUGGUUUGUUGUUGUUGUUUGUUUGUUUAAAUAUUUAUUUAUUAUAUGUAAGUACACUGUAGUUGUCUUCAGACACACCAGAAGAGGGCAUCUGAUCUUAUUACAGAUGGUUGUGAGCCUUUUUUUGUUUUUUGUUUGUUUGUUUGUUUUAAAUAGAUUAACAAAAGCAAACAAACAAAACAGAUGAACAUGGUUACACUUCUAGAUCUUAAAAGAACAUUGUCUACUAAGGAAGUGCUGACUAGAAACUGUAGGUGUGUGUGUUUUGAUGGAGGGGGAAGUUUAAGGUUUAAUCUACUCAUGAGGUCCCUCUCAUUAUGGGACGCCGAAUGUGUUGUUUAAUAAUUUCCUGACAACCCCACUGGUACAGGGAUGUCAAAGGCAAGGCUCUCCGGUGAGGUCCAAAGGAUGAAAGGGGAGCUUUGCAUAUUUUCCUUACAAGCAUCAUUAUAGGAGGAAGAGGAAGGUGUUACCAAGGCUGUUGGAAACGAAGAGGUGGACCUGAGGCCUUUGAUGAACAUGAUUCAUUGACCAGCCUCUGUAGAGUGUGUUACAGGACUUACUGUCCCAGGGUUUCUUAGUCAGUCUUUUUUUUUAUUUUUUUUAUUUUGGUUUUUCGAGACAGGGUUUCUCUGUAUAGCCCUGGCUGUCCUGGAACUCACCCUGUAGACCAGGCUGGCCUCCAACUCAGAAAUCCGCCUGCCUCUGCCUCCCGAGUGCUGGGAUUCUUAGUCAGUCUUAAGACUAGGAGACUAGUUGCUAUUCCUGUUUAUUGACAGGAAAAGAGAAGAGACUAAAGCUGACUUGCGGUAGUCCUAUGCCUAAGGAAACAGUAUUUUUUUUUCUUUUUGAUUUAUUUAUUUAUUAUAUGUAAGUACACUGUAGCUGUCUUCAGACACACCAGAAGAGGGAGUCAGAUCUUGUUACAGAUGGUGGUGAGCCACCAUGUAGUUGCUGGGAUUUGAACUCAGGACCUUCGGAAGAGCAGUCAGGUGCUCUUACCUGCUGAGCCAUCUCACCAGCCCAGGAAACAGUAUUUUUACUCUUUUCCCACCCAGCCAGUCUUAAAUGUGAGAUUGAUUCCAAGUUACCCAACUUAAAGAUUUACAAAGGUUCUUUCCCAACACCAUGUGACAAUUAGAAGCUUAAAAGUGUUCAUUCCUCAUCCUUAGGGAUUUAAAAUCCAAAACUAAACAACC
rnacentral:lncRNA from 1 species